rnacentral:lncRNA from 1 species
AUCAGAUUGCAUAUAGGGGUAAACCAAUUGGGAUAACAUUAGAUUUUUUCAACACAGACCUUGAAAGCUAGAAGAUCCUGGAACAACAUAUUUCAAACUCUGAAAGAUAAUGGGUUCCAGCCAAAAAUCUUGUAUCCAGCAAAACUAAGCUUCAGAUUUGAAGAUGAAAUAAAACCUUUCCACGAUAAAUAAAAGUUAAAAGAAUUUACAGCUAGAAAACCAGCACUACAAAACAUCCUUGGAAAAAUAUUUUAUGAAGAGGAAAUGAAAAACCAACAGAGGGAGGUAGUACACUAAAAGAAAAGCUAAUCAAAGAGGAAAACCAAGUCAAAUUAAAUAACAAAAAUAAACAAAUAUGGCUGGAAAUACAAACCAUAUCUCAAUAGUAACCUUAAAUGUUAAUAGCUUAAACUCACCAAUCAAAAGACAUAGGCUAGCAAAUUUGAUUUAAAAAAAAAAGAUCCAACAAUAUCCUGCCUACAGGAGACUCAUUUGAUAGGAAAAGAUAUAGACAGACUGAAAGUGAGAGGUUGGGAAAAAUCAUACCACUCACAUGUACUGCGGAAGCAAUUAGGGGUUUCCAUACUCUCAUCAAAUAAAAUAGACUUCAAGCCAAAAUUAAUCAAAAGGGAUAAAGAUGGACAUUACAUACUGCUCAAGGGAACCAUACACCAACAAGACAUCACAAUCAUAAAUAUAUAUGCCCCAAACAAUGGUGCAACUAUGUACAUCAGACAAAUUCUUCUCAAGUUCAAGAGUCAGAUUGACCACAACACAAUAAUCCUGAGUGACUUUAAUACACCUCUCUCACCACUGGACAAAUCUUCCAAACAAAAGUUGAAUAAAGGAACUAUAGAGCUCAAUAACACAAUUAAUAACUUAGACUUAACUGACAUAUAUAGAAUAUAUCAACUGGCAUCAAGCGGACACAUUUUCUUCUCAGCAGCACAUGGAUCCUUCUCAAAAUUAGACAUUAGACUAUGUCACAGGGCAACUCUUAGCAAAUGUAAAGGAGUAGGGAUACUACCGUGCAUUUUAUCAGAUCAUAAUGGAAUGAAAUUGGAAAUCAACGACAAAAUAAAGAGUAAAAUAUCUGUAUUACAUGGAGACUGAACAAUAUGCUACUGAAUGAACAAUGGGUUACAGAAGACAUCAAGGAGGAGAUUAAAAAAUUAUUAGAGGUAAAUGAGAACACAGAUAAAACAU